GAUGAACGCUGGCGGCGUGCCUAAUACAUGCAAGUAGAACGCUGAAGGAGGAGCUUGCUCUUCUGGAUGAGUUGCGAACGGGUGAGUAACGCGUAGGUAACCUGCCUGGUAGCGGGGGAUAACUAUUGGAAACGAUAGCUAAUACCGCAUGACAACAGUUAUUGCAUGAUAACUGUUUAAAAGGGGCAACUGCUCCACUACCAGAUGGACCUGCGUUGUAUUAGCUAGUUGGUGAGGUAACGGCUCACCAAGGCGACGAUACAUAGCCGACCUGAGAGGGUGAUCGGCCACACUGGGACUGGGACACGGCCCAGACUCCUACGGGAGGCAGCAGUAGGGAAUCUUCGGCAAUGGACGGAAGUCUGACCGAGCAAAGCCGAGUGAGGGAAGAAGGUUUUCGGAUCGUAAAGCUCUGUUGUAAGAGAAGAACGAGUGUGAGAGUAGAAAGUUCACAAUGUGACGGUAUCUUAACAGAAAGGGACGGCUAACUACGUG
rnacentral:rRNA from 1 species